AGUGAACGCUGGCGGUAGGCCUAACACAUGCAAGUCGAACGGCAGCACAGUAAGAGCUUGCUCUUACGGGUGGCGAGUGGCGGACGGGUGAGGAAUACAUCGGAAUCUACUUUUUCGUGGGGGAUAACGUAGGGAAACUUACGCUAAUACCGCAUACGACCUACGGGUGAAAGCAGGGGAUCUUCGGACCUUGCGCGACUGAAUGAGCCGAUGUCGGAUGAGCUAGUUGGCGGGGUAAAGGCCCACCAAGGCGACGAUCCGUAGCUGGUCUGAGAGGAUGAUCAGCCACACUUGAACUGUGACACGGUCCAGACUCCUACGGGAGGCAGCAGUGGGGAAUAUUGGACAAUGGGCGCAAUCCUGAUCCAGCCAUACCGCGUGGGUGAAGAAGGCCUUCGGGUUGUAAAGCCCUUUUGUUGGGAAAGAAAAGCAGCAGGUUAAUACCCCGCUGUUCUGACGGUACCCAAAGAAUAAGCACCGGCUAACUUCGUG
rnacentral:rRNA from 1 species